rnacentral:rRNA from 1 species
GUAGGGUGCGAGCGUUAAUCGGAAUUACUGGGCGUAAAGCGUGCGCAGGCGGUUUUAUAAGCCAGAUGUGAAAGCCCCGGGCUCAACCUGGGAACGGCAUUUGGGACUGUAAAGCUGGAGUAUGGCAGAGGAGACUAGAAUUCCUGGUGUAGCAGUGAAAUGCGUAGAUAUCAGGAGGAAUACCGAUGGCGAAGGCAGGUCUCUGGGCCAAUACUGACGCUCAUGCACGAAAGCGUGGGGAGCAAACAGGAUUAGAUACCCUGGUAGUCCACGCCCUAAACGAUGUCAACUGGUUGUUGGGGGAUUUAUUCUCUUAGUAACGAAGCUAACGCGUGAAGUUGACCGCCUGGGGAGUCCGGUCGCAAGAUUA